GACCCAGUGGCUAGCGGUGGCGCCCGCACCAAAUGGAUCGUUAUUGCUGAACCUGAUGUAAGCGGGAGGUUCUGGUUCGAUUCCGGGCUGGUCU